rnacentral:pre_miRNA from 7 species
UUCUCUCAACCUGAAAGAACCUAGUGGGGAAACCCCCACUCAAUUCUCGAUUCGGCAUGCACCCAAGAAUCACGAACAGAUGA